rfam:Schistosoma rodhaini strain Burundi genome assembly, scaffold: SROB_scaffold0015423
AUCCAGGUGACGAGUCCCAAAUAGGACGAAGUGGCGCACAUCCUGGAU